CCUACGGGAGGCUGCAGUGGGGAAUAUUGGGCAAUGGACGCAACUCUGACCCAGCAACGCCGCGUGAAUGAUGAAGGUCCUCGGAUUGGUAAGCUCCGUGUUGGGGGAUGUAAACAAUGACGGUACUCCAGUAGUAAGCCUCGGCUAACUACGGGCCAGCAGCCGCGGUAAUACGGAGGCGGCAAGCGUUAUCCGGAUUCAAUGGGCGUAAGGGGUGCUUAGGUGGUUUAGUAAGUUAGCGGUGUAAUUCCGGGGCUCAACCUCGGCGCUACCGCCAAAACUAUUGGGCUAGAGUGAAGGGGGGGUAAGUGGAAUUCCUGGUGUAGCGGUGAAAUGCGUAGAUAUUA
rnacentral:rRNA from 1 species